rnacentral:rRNA from 1 species
UGGGGAAUAUUGCACAAUGGGCGCAAGCCUGAUGCAGCCAUGCCGCGUGUAUGAAGAAGGCCUUCGGGUUGUAAAGUACUUUCAGCGAGGAGGAAGGCGUUGUGGUUAAUAACCGCAACGAUUGACGUUACUCGCAGAAGAAGCACCGGCUAACUCCGUGCCAGCAGCCGCGGUAAUACGGAGGGUGCAAGCGUUAAUCGGAAUUACUGGGCGUAAAGCGCACGAAGGCGGUCUGUCAAGUCGGAUGUGAAAUCCCCGGGCUCAACCUGGGAACUGCAUCCGAAACUGGCAGGCUAGAGUCUUGUAGAGGGGGGUAGAAUUCCAGGUGUAGCGGUGAAAUGCGUAGAGAUCUGGAGGAAUACCGGUGGCGAAGGCGGCCCCCUGGACAAAGACUGACGCUCAGGUGCGAAAGCGUGGGGAGCAAACA